GUGCCUUUAGCUUAUGCGGUAGAAGCGCUCGGCUCAUAACCGAGAGAUAGAAGGGUUCGAAUCCCUCAAGGCGCACCA
rnacentral:tRNA from 1 species